GCAUGUGAAACACUGCAGAGCCACAACUACUGCCUACCAACGCACCACCAAUGUAAAGUAAUACGUCUAAUGUCUAAUCAAAGGAAGGCGUCACGUACGUGAAUGAGGAACUGGUUUUCAGGUCCAACACGGGAAAUGGUGAUCUACAACUCGAGCACACAAUCCGCCGCCUAUUGUACGAAACAUGAACCUGAGACUGGACACAGCGCAAUAUAACUUUGUUGAACAGUAAUCUUCGUGCGACCAAAACUCUGUACCAUGCCGGGAAGCUGCUAGCCGGGUUCCAACCUUCUACCUUGGCCAUCAGUAGGCGAACAGGUUACCAGCCGACCACAUCACCAACCGACCAAAGAAAGAAUGGCACAGAGACACGACAGCACAAUUAGCACUUGGACCAAACCUCGGCCAAAGGAGUGACCGCAGCAAGACCGACAGGAAACGAAGACUCCACAGGGCCUAACAGUCUCAUCCGUGAAGAGUCGUCGCCCAUUUGUUAGGAAGGCGAACUGACAGUCCCAAGGGACCGCACGUAACGGCAUGUGUUGUUGAAGCAAUCGAUAGUCCUCUAAUCCAGAUAGAGGUGGUAUGGGCAAGAUGGAAGGAGAAUUAGUUUAUUUAACGAGCCGUCGAAAAUAAAGUAAAAGAGGUGCGAAAGUAAAGCUUGAACCCGGACUCCGGGCCUCGGUCACUUCUGCCACGGGUAAAAAUCGAUGUCCAGUGCUGGACAAAAAUUUACGGAA